GUAUUUCUGCGUUGCAUAUGGGCUGGGGUCCCUCCUGUCCUCUCCUACAUGAUCCCAGGUCUGAUUUCUAAUGGUGUUGUAUUUCCUCCCUAAAUCAUUUUUCAAUAGUAUUUUUUGUUCUUCUGUGGGAUACAGAAGAAUUUUUUUUUCUUAUUCCAAUAAGGACAAGUAAACAAGUCAGAAGCCUCGGAAGAGCUCAAGAGAGAAACCUCAGCCUUCAAUUCCUGGUCUCUUUCUGAGACCUCAGCUCUUGAUUCACUUAAUUUCAAGGAGGACUGAUUUAUGACUACACCAAGCUGACCCAAAGAACCCUGGGAAGCACGUGGCCCGCCAGAGAGAAGGGCUGGGCCCUGGGGCUGGAAAGGGCACAGAGCCUGUUUUCAACAAUUACGUCUACAUUUUCCAAGAGAUUAAACGGAUUAGAAGCCAGGCAUUGGAGAAGAGAUCUUUUGUCUUCCUUGGCAACAUUUCUGAAAUCUACAGAUAGGGAUGAGGAAGUGAGGCACAUUUUUCAUCUGUUCCAACAAAUUGCCAAUGGAAUGGCUGACAUGCCAUUUUAGAGUGUGUCAUCUCUCCUGUGUUCCCUGAGUUGCCUGGGGCAGGCUGCCCCUCAUCACUGAGGGUCAGCUGGGCCCUGCCCUUGAAUACAGCACAGGGCUGGUGUCAUGGAGCCGGCCUUCCUUACACCAAUGAACCGCAGGAGCCUCCCCUUGUCCCUUGCCUGGGGGGAACUAAUGGCAUUGCAGGCAAAGGCUCAGCAGGGACCCUGUAGAUAGAGGAUAGAUCGGCACCCAGGCGUCUUACAGGGUGGACCCCAUGCUGGCAGGGUGGAGGCCAGAGAAAAGAGGCUUGGAAGAAGCAAAGGAAACUCUCAAGGGGGUGCGGAGAUGAACGUGGCUUGCACCUGGAGAACUCCCAGCCAAUCUGAGCUUGACACCCCUCUCUUCUCCACCAAUCAAAUGGCACUACCACCUCCUCCUAAUUCCCCUACCAAUGAGAACUAGGUUCCCUUACCCUAUCCACCAAUCAGGGUGUGGACAAAGAAUAAUCUUAUCAAACCCCACGUGGAUUCACACGCAUCUGGUAGCUUGAUGGUUGGUAAGUCUCUGCAUGGCAAGCUGGGUCUCCAAGUCUUUAUUGUUACGCUUCUAUUGUUUGGAGGCCGAAGGGGCGAUGGGAGAACUAAAAGCCCAGGCCCCUUUCGUCCCUGAAAACCCUGAAAAAAGUUUCUGCAUAUGUGAAAAAGAAGGGGAUUAGUGGACAGUCAUCAUAAGCCAACAGUGACAUGUGCGUCAACAUGCUAAUGACAUGGCUUAGGCUGCACUGAUACACAUUUAUUAAACCAAUACGUUGCCAACGGAAUGGCUGACAUGCCAUUUUAACGUAUGCCAUCUCUGUAUUCGGUGAGCACAGUGAUGUCCUUCAAGGAAGGACUUGUUGCCUCGGCUGCGGCGCUGCCAUGAGCGCGGCUCUGACUAUGGUGAGAUUAGUUGGUGACCUAGCACCCGUCGUACCAGUUGGGCUGUAAUGACUCCUAGAGAUAGUCGCUCAAGAUAGCUCUGUGUGUUUGUUUCGUAAAUAAGCUCCAUGGCAAAUUCGCAUUGUUUUUCCCCAAAUAAGCAAUUCCGAAGGCUAGGCCUUCACUGAGAGCAUGCAUCUCUGCAUAAACUGCCUCUAGGCUUUGGGACCUGCUUUAGCUUCCAGGAGCUGCUCUUCAAGACCACAUUCCUCCCCAGAGCAGCCCUGUCAACAUCCAGGGACAGAUGAAAGCCGGAUUAUGAAGACCUGGCCAUCUCCCCCGAAAUCAGGAAACUCUGAAGAGCAUUCUAACUCCAAAGAUGCCUGUGGGUUGGCUGGGGCUGUCCUUGGGCCUGUAGUACAGCCCAGAUCCUCCCACUGCCCACACCCACUCUUGCCUCCUCUCUUACACGGGUGUUGGUCUGAGGGCACUUGUAUAGGCUAAACUCCAUCUGAAUCCGCUUCCCAGGAAAACCAGCCUGCAGGGAAACCAUGCCAGUUCUCUGUGCUACUUGCAUCUCCCUUGCAGAGCUGCCUUCAGAAUCUGGACAAAGAUUUUGGUCAAUUUAUAAAGUUUAUUUUAUUCAUUUAUUUUUUUUUUUGAAAUGGAAUCUCACUCUGUCGCCCAGGCUGGAGUACAGUGACGCGAUCUUGGCUCCCUGAAGCUUGUGCCUCCCGAGUUCAGGUGAUUUUCAUGCCUCAGCUUCCCCAGUAGCUGGGACUACAGGCACGUGCCACCACACCCAGCUAAUUUUUUUUCUUUUUGUAUUUUUAGUAGAGAUGGGGUUUCACCAUGUUGGCUAGGCUGAUCUCUAACACCUGACCUCAAGUGACCCGCCCGCUUUGGCCUCCCAAAGUUCUGGGAUUACAGGCGUGAGCCACCACGCCCAGCCUAGUUUAUAAACUUUCUGUUUGUCAAAGCUGGCUGAAAUGUGAUAGACAUCUUCUGAAGGUGAGGUCAUCUUCUAAGGAAGAUGUUCAAAGGAAAACUGACUAUUGGAAAGAUAAAGGAUGGGUGAAGGGGUGAAAUCAGGAAUCCUACGGGCAGAUGGACCGGAUGCCCUCUGUCAGGCCUAUGAGCCCAAGCUAAGCCAUCGUAUCUCCUAUGACCCUCAUGUAUACAUCCAGAUGGCCUGAAGCAACUGAAGAUCCACAAAAUAAGUGAAAAUAGCCAGUUCCUGCCUUAACUGAUGACAUUCCACCAUUGUGACUUGUUCCUGCCCCGCCCUAACUGAUCAACUGACUUUGUGACAUUCCUUCUCCUGGACAAUGAAUCUCAAGAGCUCCCCACCAAGCACCUUGUGACCCCUGCCCCUGCCUGCAAGAGAAAACCCCCUUUCACUGUAAUUUUCCACUACCCACCCGAACCCUAUAAAACUGCCUCACCCCAAUCUCCCUUUGCUGACUCCUUUUACGGACUCAGUCCGCCUGCAUCCAGGUGAUUGAAAAGCUUUAUUGCUCACACAAA
rnacentral:lncRNA from 1 species